GCGCAGCAGGCGCGAAAACUUUACAAUGCGAGAAAUCGUGAUAAGGGAACCCCGAGUGCCCGUAAAUUCGGGCUGUCCGCCAGUGUAAAUAACUGGUGAAGAAAGGGCCGGGCAAGACCGGUGCCAGCCGCCGCGGUAAUACCGGCGGCUCGAGUGGUGGCCACUAUUACUGGGCUUAAAGCGUCCGUAGCUGGAUUGUUAAGUCUCUUGGGAAAUCCACCGGCUCAACCGAUGGGCGUUCAGGAGAAACUGGCAAUCUAGGGACCGGGAGAGGUGAGAGGUACUCCAGGGGUAGGAGUGAAAUCCUGUAAUCCUUGGGGGACCACCUGUGGCGAAGGCGUCUCACUAGAACGGCUCCGACAGUGAGGGACGAAAGCUGGGGGAGCAAACCGGAUUAGAUACCCGGGUAGUCCCAGCUGUAAACGAUGCGCGUUAGGUGUAUCGGUGACCACGAGUCAUCGAGGUGCCGAAGGGAAACCG
rnacentral:rRNA from 1 species